UUUAAAAACUACACAAUGUAUUAGUUUAAUUUAACCCCAAGAGGUUCUGCAUCACCUCACUAAACUGUUAUCCCUAAUGUGGAGAAACAGAUCUAAAUCCUGAUUUAACAUUUAGACUUUGAGAUAUGACCUAUCAGCAUGACAACCAUCAAUUAUUCUGGGGCACUCCUAAUUUUAACUAAGCAUUCUGUAGAUAUUUGUGUUGAUUAUUCUUUAGUGGGAUGGGUUCUGCAGGAUCUGAC